rnacentral:rRNA from 1 species
AUUGAACGCUGGCGGCAGGCCUAACCCAUGCAAGUCGCACGAGUGGCGUACGUGUGAGUAAUGUCUGGGCAACUGCCUGAUGGAGGGGGAUAACUACUGGAAACUGUUGCUACUACCGCCUUCCCUCUGAUGUGCCCAGAUGGGUUUGGCUAGUAGGUGGGGUAACGGCUCACCUAGGCGACGAUCCCUAGCUGGUCUGAGAGAAUGACCAGCCACACUGGAACUGGGACACGGUCCAGACUCCUACGGGAGGCAGCAGUGGGGAAUAUGGCACAAUGGGCGCAAGCCUGAUGCAGCCAGGCCGCGUGUAUGAAGAAGGCCUUCGGGUUGUAAAGUACUUUCAGCAGGGAGGCGUUACCCGCAGAAGAAGCACCGGCUAACUCCGUGCCAGCAGCCGCGGUAAUAC